rnacentral:rRNA from 1 species
AUGCAUCCAAGCAAGAGUUCUCCAGCAAGUAAGAAGGCUGACGCCGAGGAGGACAUCACCGUCGACCUAUAUCCAUUUAUACGUGAAUACAACGGCGGCCAUGUCGAACGCUUACUUCGCAGUCCAUUCGUGGCAGCGUCCGAGGACGCGGCUGCCAACCGUGGAGUUGCGACAAGGGACGCCGUCAUCGACGAGAAGACGGGCGUGUCCGCACGCCUGUUCCUUCCCUCCCUUGCCGCAGCCGCCGGCGAGCUGCUCCCCGUCAUCAUGUACGUCCACGGCGGAUCUUUCUGCACGGAGAGUGCGUUCUGCCGCACGUACCACAACUACGCCAGGUCCCUGGCCGCGCGCGCCGGGGCCCUCGUCGUGUCCGUGGAGUACCGUCUAGCGCCGGAGCAUACCGUGCCCAUGGCCUAUGAUGACGCCUGGGCGGCACUUCAGUGGGUGGCGUCCCUCUCUGACCCCUGGCUCUCCUACCACGCUGAUCCCGGGCGCAUGUUUCUCGCCGGCGAUAGCGCUGGCGGCAACAUCGUCUACAACACGGCGGUGCGUGCGGCCACCGGUGGUGGCACUGGCAACCACAUCGACGUUGAGGGUCUUGUCAUCGUGCAACCAUACUUUUGGGGAGACGAUCGGCUGUCCAGCUCCGAGGAAGUCUGGGACGGCGUCGCCAUGUUUGCUACUGAGGUCAUCGACAGGCUCUGGCCGUUCGUUACGGCAGGUCGGCUCGGCAAUGACGAUUGCCGGGUCAACCCUGCCGACGAGGAGAUCGCCUCCCUGACAUGCCGGCGUGUGCUGGUCGCCGUUGCCGAGAAGGACACCUUGCGUGACCGCGGGCGCCGGCUGGCGUCCCGCAUAUAUGACUGCUGCUCAUGGGCCGAUGAUGAAAAUGUGGUGACAUUGGUGGAGUCGGAGGGCGAAGACCAUGGCUUCCACCUGUACAACCCACUGCGUGGGACCAGCAAGACUCUCAUGGACACCAUAGUGCAGUUCAUAAACCAACGCACGGCCUUGCCACUGCCGGCCGCUUUGCUGCCAGAGCUUCACGAGCUGCAUUCACGCCCCCGAGGUAAGAAGAAGACAUCAUUUGCUGUCCAGCCUGUUGAAUGCGUGCCUACUAGGCCGUAUAUGGGGGUGUUUGGGUGUGGGAUGGCCAUGAAAAUCUUGUUGAGUGGCCCUAAUGAUAUGACACGUAGUAGUUGCUUAAGCAUUGGACAGGGAAGAAGGGCCUCCAAGACUAGAUAUGGGUUAUUUUUGGGCCAUCUUAGCAAGUCUAACAAGACCAACAGGAUCUCAUUAUCAGCAACAGCUCCGGAGAGUUGUGUUUUCCACAACUUCAUCUAG